rnacentral:misc_RNA from 1 species
UCCGAUUUGUCACCGGCAGUCUCCUAUGAGUCCCCGACAUAACCCGCUGGCAACAGGGGUUGCGUUCGUUGCGGGACUUAACCCAACACCUCACGGCACGAGCUGACGACAGCCAUGCAGCACCUGUGCUAGCUCCCCGAAGGGUCCCGCAUCUUUCGAAUUGGUACCACUAGCAUGUCAAGCCUUGGUAAGGUUCUUCGCGUUGCGACGAAUUAAACCGCACGCUCCGCUGCUUGUGCGGGCCCCCGUCAAUUCUUUUGAGUUUUAGCCUUGCGGCCGUACUCCCCAGGCGGAACACUUAUCGCGUUAGCUGCGGCACAGAGGGAUUCGACUCCCCCCACACCUAGUGUUCAUCGUUUACGGCUAGGACUAC